rnacentral:tRNA from 1 species
UCAACUUUAGCUCAGAUGGUAGAGCGGAGGACUGUAGUUGGAAUCUUUAGGUCGCUGGUUCAAAUUUGGCAAGUUGGA